rnacentral:rRNA from 1 species
AGAGUUUGAUCCUGGCUCAGGAUGAACGCUGGCGGCGUGCCUAACACAUGCAAGUUGAGCGAUUUACUUCGGUAAAGAGCGGCGGACGGGUGAGUAACGCGUGGGUAACCUACCCUGUACACACGGAUAACAUACCGAAAGGUAUGCUAAUACGGGAUAAUAUAUUUGAGAGGCAUCUCUUGAAUAUCAAAGGUGAGCCAGUACAGGAUGGACCCGCGUCUGAUUAGCUAGUUGGUAAGGUAACGGCUUACCAAGGCGACGAUCAGUAGCCGACCUGAGAGGGUGAUCGGCCACAUUGGAACUGAGACACGGUCCAAACUCCUACGGGAGGCAGCAGUGGGGAAUAUUGCACAAUGGGCGAAAGCCUGAUGCAGCAACGCCGCGUGAGUGAUGAAGGCCUUCGGGUCGUAAAACUCUGUCCUCAAGGAAGAUAAUGACGGUACUUGAGGAGGAAGCCCCGGCUAACUACGUGCCAGCAGCCGCGGUAAUACGUAGGGGGCUAGCGUUAUCCGGAUUUACUGGGCGUAAAGGGUGCGUAGGCGGUCUUUCAAGUCAGGAGUGAAAGGCUACGGCUCAACCGUAGUAAGCUCUUGAAACUGGGAGACUUGAGUGCAGGAGAGGAGAGUGGAAUUCCUAGUGUAGCGGUGAAAUGCGUAGAUAUUAGGAGGAACACCAGUUGCGAAGGCGGCUCUCUGGACUGUAACUGACGCUGAGGCACGAAAGCGUGGGGAGCAAACAGGAUUAGAUACCCUGGUAGUCCACGCUGUAAACGAUGAGUACUAGGUGUCGGGGGUUACCCCCNUGGAGAGGUGUCCGAGUGGUUUAAGGAGCUGGUCUUGAAAACCAGUGACUUCGAAAGGGGCCGUGGGUUCGAAUCCCACCCUCUCCGCCAAAUGCCCAGAUAGCUCAGUCGGUAGAGCAGGGGACUGAAAAUCCCCGUGUCGGUGGUUCGAUUCCGCCUCUGGGCACCAAAAUGUGGCGGUAUAGCUUAGUUGGCUAGAGCGUUCGGUUCAUACCCGAAAGGUCAUAGGUUCGACUCCUAUUACCGCUACUAAAAUUUAAUGUGGGCCAUUAGCUCAGUUGGUUAGAGCGCCCGGCUCAUAACCGGUAGGUCUGGGGUUCGAGUCCCUGAUGGCCCACCACAUUAAAUUAACUUAUGGUGGGUAUAGCUCAGUUGGUUAGAGCGCCAGAUUGUGGCUCUGGAGGUCGUGAGUUCGACUCUCAUUAUCCACCCCAAAUUAUAUGGUCUAUUAGCUCAGUCGGUAGAGCACCUGACUUUUAAUCAGGGUGUCCCGCGUUCGAGUCGCGGAUAGAUCACCAAAAAGGCGGCGACAUAGCCAAGUGGUAAGGCAGUGGACUGCAACUCCUUGAUCCCCAGUUCGAAUCUGGGUGUCGCCUCCAAUAAAUGCGCUCAUAGCUCAACUGGAUAGAGUGUCUGACUACGAAUCAGAAGGUUAGGGGUUCGAGUCCCUUUGGGCGCACCAUAUAAAUAGCGAGGGAUUAUAGCUCAGCUGGGAGAGCACCUGCCUUACAAGCAGGGGGUCACAGGUUCGAGCCCUGUUAAUCCCACCAGUGCAAACCUCUAGUAAAACUACUAGAGGUUUUAUUUUUGAUUGAAAAAGUUUUUAUAUUUAGGAGGUAAGAAACUUGUAUAUAGUAAUAGGAAAUGAAAUAGUUGAUAGUGAAGAACUUAAAAUAAUUAUAGAUAAAAAUAGUACAUUUAAAGUUGAAAAAGAUUUAAGUAAAAGCACAAAAAGAGAAGAUGUAAUAGCAUAUCAGUUAAGUAUAGAUUUAAAUUACUUAGAUUCUCUUAUAAAUGAGCAAUGUAAUUUAGCCAGUCUAUCUGAUGAAGAGAAAUUUGAUGAAUAUAUGACUUUAUCUGAUGAACUUGCACUGGAUUUAGAAGAGCUAAUGCCAAAAUAUACAAUAAUAAAUGCUAGAGCAUAUAAAUUAGACGAGGUAGAUGGAAUUGUAAAAAUAAUACUAGCUGUAGCGUAUGCAGAUUUAGGGCACUUAAAACUUUCUGAUGUAGUAAAGAGGCUAUCUAGACAAGUAGAUUAGGAUAUGAAUAUGAACUAUAUUAAAAAAAUGUAUAAAAUCUUACGUAAAGAUGAAAAUAAUUAUGUAAACAUAGAAAAAAACAGUAUAAAAUCAAGUCAAUUGUAGGAAUUUUCACAUAAAUUCAUCUGAAAUUCUAUAAAAAAUGCCUUAAUUUUAAUGAGGUAAAUCGAGUUUACACAGUCUAAAAAUUACUUAUAUUUAUAAAUUUAUCUUAUUAAUUAAGGAACUUUCUUAAACAUCUUCAAAAAUAAAGUAUUUUAGUCUAUAAUCUUUAAUAUUACACAAACAAUAAAGGAGAAGAAUAGAGUAUGCUUAAAAAGUUUAAUAAAAUACUAGUGGCUAAUAGAGGCGAAAUAGCUAUAAGAAUAUUUAGAGCCUGUUCAGAAUUGGGGAUAAAAAGUGUUGGUAUAUACAGUAAGGAAGAUAAAUAUGGAUUGUUUAGAACAAAAGCAGAUGAAUCAUAUUUGAUAGGAGAAGGUAAAGGGCCAAUAGAUGCAUAUUUAGAUAUGGAUGGAAUAAUAGACCUAGCAAAGAGAAAAAAAGUUGAUGCUAUACAUCCAGGAUAUGGUUUUCUAGCGGAGAAUGCAGAAUUUGCUCGUAAAUGUGAAGAGAAUGGAAUUACUUUUAUAGGACCAUCAUCUAAGGUAAUGAAUAUGAUGGGGGAUAAGAUUAACUCUAAAAAAAUCGCAAAAGAAGUUAAUGUUCAAACUAUACCAGGAGUAGAAAAAGCAAUAAGAAGUACUGAAGAAGCAAAGGAAGUUGCAAACAAAAUAGGCUAUCCUGUUAUGAUAAAAGCAUCUAAUGGUGGUGGCGGUAGAGGUAUGAGAAUUGUACAUCGCGAAGAAGACUUAGAGCUUGAAUAUGAAACUGCUUGUAGUGAAUCAAGAAAAGCUUUUGGAGAAGAUAUUAUAUUUAUAGAAAAAUAUAUAGCUGAUCCAAAACAUAUAGAAGUUCAAAUAUUAGGAGAUAACUAUGGAAAUAUAGUUCACUUAUAUGAAAGAGAUUGUUCUGUUCAAAGAAGACAUCAAAAAAUAAUAGAAUAUGCACCAGCUUUUUCGUUAGAUGAUAAAGUAAGAAAAGAGAUAUGUGAAGAUGCAGUUAAGUUAUCAAAACAUGUGGGUUAUUCUAAUGCAGGAACAUUAGAAUUUUUAGUAGAUGCAAAUGGUGGGCAUUAUUUUAUAGAGAUGAACACAAGAGU